rnacentral:rRNA from 1 species
CCCUUAGACGUUCUGGGCCGCACGCGCGCUACACUGACGAAGGCAACGAGCUUUCCUUUACCGAAAGGUACGGGUAAUCUUUUGAAACUUCGUCGUGCUGGGGAUAGAUCCUUGCAAUUUUUGAUCUUAAACGAGGAAUGCCUAGUAAGCGCAAGUCAUCAACUUGCGUUGAUUACGUCCCUGCCCUUUGUACACACCGCCCGUCGCUACUACCGAUUGAAUGGUUUAGUGAGGCCUUCGGAUCCGCGACUCGUCUGUGGAGAAGUUGGACAAACUCAGUCAUUUAGAGGAAGUAAAAGUCGUAACA